rnacentral:rRNA from 1 species
AACGAACGCUGGCGGCAGGCCUAACACAUGCAAGUCGAGCGCGCCCUUCGGGGUGAGCGGCGGACGGGUGAGUAACGCGUGGGAACGUGCCCUUUUCUACGGAAUAGCCUCGGGAAACUGAGAGUAAUACCGUAUACGCCCUUUGGGGGAAAGAUUUAUCGGAAAGGGAUCGGCCCGCGUUGGAUUAGGUAGUUGGUGGGGUAAUGGCCUACCAAGCCGACGAUCCAUAGCUGGUUUGGGAGGAUGAUCAGCCACACUGGGACUGAGACACGGCCCAGACUCCUACGGAAGGCAGCAGUGGGGAAUCUUAGACGAUGGGUGCAACCCUGAGCUAGCCAGGCCGCGUGAGUGAUGAAGGCCUUAGGGUUGUAAAGCUCUUUCAGCUGGGAAGAUAAUGACGGAACCAGCAGAAGAAGCCCCGGCUAACUCCGU